UAGCGUAUAUUAAAGUUGUUGCGGUUAAAAAGCUCGUAGUUGGAUUUCUGUUGAGGACGACCGGUCCAUACCACGUAUGCGUAUCUGGCUCGGCCUCGGCAUCCUCUCGAUGUACGUUUCUGCGCUUAAUUGCGUGGUGCGGACUUCGGGACUUUUACUUUGAGGAAAUUAGAGUGUUCACGGCAGGCAAGCGCCUUGAAUAUAUUAGCAUGGAAUAAUAAUCUAGGAUCUUGGUUCUAUUUUGUUGGUUUCUAGAACUAAGGUAAUGAUUAAUAGGGACAAUUGGGGGCAUUCGUAUCAACGCGUC
rnacentral:rRNA from 1 species